rnacentral:rRNA from 1 species
AUUGAACGCUGGCGGCAUGCUUUACACAUGCAAGUCGAACGGUAACAGGGUGCCUGCACCGCUGACGAGUGGCGAACGGGAGAGUAAUGCGUCGGAACGUGCCGAGGAGUGGGGGAUAACGCAGAGAAAGAAGUGCUAAUACUGCAUACGUACGGCGGCAGAAAGCGGGGGAACGUGCGGCCUGCCGCGAGUCGAGCGGGCGACGUCUGAUUAACUAGUAGGGGAGGUAAAGGCUCACCUAGGCGACGACCAGUAGCGGGUCUGAGGGGAUGGUCCGCCACACUGGGACUGAGACACGGCCCAGACUCCUGCGGGAGGCAGCAGUGGGGUAUUUUGGACAAGGGGCGAAAGCCUGAUCCAGCCAUGCCGGGUGUCUGAAGAAGGCCUUCGGGUUGUAAAGGACUUUUGUCAGGGAGGAAAUCCCUAGUGCUAAUAACACUGGGGGAUGACAGUACCUGAAGAAUAAGCACCGGCUAACUACGUGCCAGCCGCCGCCGUAACAC